rnacentral:rRNA from 1 species
AUUGAACGCUAGCGGGAUGCUUUACACAUGCAAGUCGAACGAGUGGCGGACGUGUGAGUAAUAUAUCGGAACCUGCCCAGUAGCGGGGGAUAACUACUCGAAAGAGUGGCUAAUACCGCAUACUAUAGGAGCGGCCGAUAUGGGAUUAGGUAGUUGGUGGGGUAAAGGCUCACCAAGGCAACGAUCCGUAGCUGGGUUUAGAGGACGACCAGCCACACUGGGACUGAGACACGGCCCAGACUCCUACGGGAGGCAGCAGUGGGGAAUUUUGGGCAAUGGGGGAAACCCUGAUCCAGCCAUCCCGCGUGUAUGAGAAGGCCUUCGGGUUGUAAAGUACUUUUGGCAGAGAGGCGUUAUCUGCAGAAUAAGCACCGGCUAACUACGUGCCAGCAGCCGCGGUAAUUC